CCUACGGGUGACUGCAGUGGGGAAUAUUGGACAAUGGGGGGAACCCUGAUCCAGCGACGCCGCGUGAGUGAAGAAGUAUUUCGGUAUGUAAAGCUCUAUCAGCAGGGAAGAAAGAAAUGACGGUACCUGACUAAGAAGCCCCGGCUAACUACGUGCCAGCAGCCGCGGUAAUACGUAGGGGGCAAGCGUUAUCCGGAUUUACUGGGUGUAAAGGGAGCGUAGACGGCGAUGCAAGUCUGAAGUGAAAGGCGGGGGCCCAACCUCCGGACUGCUUUGGGAACUGUUUUGCUGGAGUAUGGGAGGGGUAAGCGGAAUUCCUGGUGUAGCGGUGAAAUGCGUAGAUAUCAGGAGGAACACCGGUGGCGAAGGCGGCUUACUGGACCAUAACUGACGUUGAGGCUCGAAAGCGUGGGGGCGAACAGGAUUAGAUACCCGUGUAGUC
rnacentral:rRNA from 1 species